CGGAGAUACCGAUGUAUCGAAGAGAGUUUAUUCUCUUCUUAUUCUUCUCUUUCUUCUCUUCUUCUGUUCUUCAUCUCUUUCUCCCUAUCGAAUUCUAUUCCAAAGGUCUAGCUGAAUCGAGCUUCUUUUUGUGAGUGAUCCAUGUAAAUAUUGAGAUCUAGAUAAAUCUAAGAAGAGGGUGAUGAAUCUGGAAGGUAAUUGAGAAGAAAUAGAAAUUAGGGUUUCCUCCUGCCAUACUUUUCUUCUUCUUCUGCAACAAACUCCUACCAUACAUUUCUUCUCCGACAAACCAUGGUUGUUCCUCAUGAAUCAGUUGAGUUGUUGCUGUCAAUUUGAAAAAUGGCUCUCGAGAUUUCACAAAAAUAAAGGGUUUUGUGAGAUUCGAUUUGGAUUCACUCUAUGUGGGAUUUGUUCUCACCAACAGAAGGGCAAAAGCGUGCGCGUUGAGAACAAUUGUGGGUGGGAAAGUUCAUAUUUCACGUGAAUAUGAUACCAACAAAUAUUUGAACUACAUUUGGCUAAGAUGUGCAGAACACAAGUAUUUUCCUUCUUUAUUACCUUUUGUUUCUCGAGUGUACCUCUGCAACAGUGUUUCCUUGACACGACGAAGAGGUAGAUCUUUGCAAUUCUAUAUUAUGUUGACCUUAUCCCUUUUUAAAUUUAGUUGAGCUAAGGCUACAUCUCUCUACAGAAAGGUACGACUAAUUUUUAAUAUGUUUUUUUCUUCAUUCACACGAUUGAGUUUUAAUGUAAUACUGAUUUCAAUUGCUUUUUCAUCCAUUUGCUUUCAGGAUGCUGAUAAGAUUGUCACAAUACUGAUGUUCCUGUCAGAAGUCACUAUAAAAGGUGAUACUGUCAUUUGACGUAAGGAUACAUGAAUGGCAGAAAGGAGAAGAAGAGGAGUGUUCCCGCAACUGUGAAACUAAACAACAAAGUAAAUUGUUAUCAACAAAAGGAAAAAAAGACACGAGUCAUCCAGGAAGUACGAAAGACGAUGAUGUAACUAAGUUUUUGUUUUAUGGCAUUCAGCAAUUUCAUGAGUGCCAACGACAAUACCAUAGAUGCUCAUAAUACCAAAUUUUUUGGUAAUGUAGUACUUGAAUUUUUUGUUGUUAGUGAUGAAUGGCAUGAUUUAUAAAGGGGGAUACCAGUUCUACUAAGUGCUGAUACCGUUUCAUAUAGGACAAAAAAUCCCACCGAUCCUGGCCGUUGGAUCGAUGAAAUGGUAUCAACACUUAGUAGGAUUGGUAUCCCCCUUUAUAAAUCGGGAUGAAUGGGAUCCUUCUAUUUGUUGUCAAUUAAUCUUUGAAUUUCUGAUCCUGUGGAGUGUUUUUGUUAAAAUUGUUUUUCCUUUCUCUUUUUAUGUAAUUGACUAAAAAUACCACAUACGUAAAAACAUCUCUUUUGCAUUCGGUGAUAUUGUUUAUUUUGCUUAUGUUUUUUGCAUUCUAAAGAAUGAGGAGUCUGCUGGAAUUGAAUUUUAAAGUUGCUUUUGAUUUUACAGUAAAACUGCAUCGAGGCGAAGCCGAGCCACACCAAAUCAAAAAUCCCAAACAUGUAUCUGGACGGGUCGAGGCAAUGCCGAGUCAUACCAAACUAAAAAUUCUAAGCAAAUCAAAGCAUCAAGACGGGUCAAGGCGAAGCCGAGCCACACCAAAUCAAAUAUGCAUUGCGACGGGGCGAGACUACAAAAUAAAAAAAGCAUGACGGGGCGAGGAAAAGCCACAUCACACCAAACCAAAAAUAUGGUUAAAGAAAAAAAAUAUAUGAUGGUGCAUGGUUUUCGGGUCCGCCCGGUGCGUAGCACGGGCAAAAAAUCUAGUACUUAGCUAAUAAGAGGAGCACAUUAGGCCCAGGUUUUCCUAAAUAUCAAUUUUCGAAAAGAAAAACAACCACGACUGCUCUUCAACAACCCUAAAUCAAAGAAAAACGUCUGCAUAAUUAGUCGACGAAAUCAAUCGAGCUCAUCUUGCAAAAUCUCUAAGAACAAAUUUAUUUCAGUAUUUUGUCCCAACAAGCCCUAAUCUUCACAGGGCACCAAAAAAUCAAGUAAAAGUAAAGUCACAGGGGAUUAACCUAGUUGUUAUUCAAUCGAGCAAACAACCAAUAGAGAGGACCAAUGGUAAAACAUGAUAAAAGGGAGUAAGAAACCCUUAAAAUCAUAGAAUUUUGGCUAUUAAUUACUAACAUGUUCAUACUCUUCACGAUCAAUAUAUGUUUUGAAUUGUGGAGUUCGUAGAAGUUCUAUGAAAUCAGUGAUUCAUUUGAUAUAAUGUUUUAAUCUUUGUGAUCAUUUUCAGUUUUGAUUCGUCUUACUUUUAUUUGCCUACCUCCUGAGUAUGUUACGUACUUUUCAUCUUGAAAGAAAAAACUCUUCUCUGAUUGUAGGAGAUUCUUUUUUAGUCAAUGAAAAAAAAAUCAUUUAUCAAACAAUACAGUGAGGAUAAACGACUUUUCUUGGGAUGACUCCUCAUACCCACAAGUACGAAAUUGCUAUUCCAUGCAUUUUAUUAUUAGAGCAAAUGAAGGAAUUUUGGUAUUCUAGAAAGGUAUAAUGAAAAUGUUGCUCUUUGGUGAUUUUUUUAAGCUCCUACACAUACUUGAUAUUCAGGUUUUGCAGGAGCUGGUUUUAGAUUUUUCUCCUUCAUUUUUAAUAGAAAUAACAAUUCAUUGUAAUGGAGUAAUGGAGGAUGAACGGGCGUUUAGUAGCAGUUAUGUAGGAGAAGGUAUCUCAUGGAUAUAUUUACGAGACUUAGGCUGCGGGGCACUUGGAUUUUGGAUGGAAUGGGAUGCAGAAUAACAUCAAUAAUGGGAGCUUAUAUGGAGGGAAAAAAACACACACCAAUGUUGGCUAAUUUGAAACUUGCGUAACCUUCAAUUUUCCUUUUAUUAUACUAGUGGAUUGCCCGUUCCAUAAUGACGCGGGACAGAAGGGUGUCGGUGCUAUGGUUAAUGUCUUCGUCGGUAUAUGGGUCGAUAUUCACCAAUUCUUUAUUUUUUCUUACAUAGGAAAGGAUUAUAUCCAACUUGUAAUGAAUAUUUUCACCAAAAUGACGCACCUUGUAUCCCCAUAUCUCAUAGUAUGUAUUUAUUGCCAGUGAGGUACUUGUAAUCAUCCGGUGAACAUCC